GUCAAGUCAGCAUGGCCUUUAUAUCCUGGGCUACACACACGCUACAAUGGCAGAUACAAUAGGUUGCGAAACCGCGAGGUGGAGCCAAUCCUCAAAGUCUGUCUCAGUUCAGAUUGUAGGCUGCAACUCGCCUGCAUGAAGUUGGAGUUGCUAGUAAACGCAGGUCAGCUAUACUGCGUUGAAUACGUUCCCGGGUUU
rnacentral:rRNA from 1 species